rnacentral:rRNA from 1 species
UACGUAGGGUGCGAGCGUUAAUCGGAAUUACUGGGCGUAAAGCGUGCGCAGGCGGUUAUGCAAGACAGAUGUGAAAAUCCCCGGGCUUAACCUGGGAACUGCAUUUGUGACUGCAUAGCUAGAGUGUGUCAGAGGGGGGUAGAAUUCCACGUGUAGCAGUGAAAUGCGUAGAUAUGUGGAGGAAUACCGAUGGCGAAGGCAGCCCCCUGGGAUAACACUGACGCUCAUGCACGAAAGCGUGGGGAGCAAACAGG